CGGGAAAUGCGGCUGCUAUACAUGCAAGUCGAGCGAACGGACGAGAAGCUUGCUUCUCUGAUGUUAGCGGCGGACGGGUGAGUAACACGUGGAUAACCUACCUAUAAGACUGGGAUAACUUCGGGAAACCGGAGCUAAUACCGGAUAAUAUUUUGAACCGCAUGGUUCAAAAGUGAAAGACGGUCUUGCUGUCACUUAUAGAUGGAUCCGCGCUGCAUUAGCUAGUUGGUAAGGUAACGGCUUACCAAGGCAACGAUGCAUAGCCGACCUGAGAGGGUGAUCGGCCACACUGGAACUGAGACACGGUCCAGACUCCUACGGGAGGCAGCAGUAGGGAAUCUUCCGCAAUGGGCGAAAGCCUGACGGAGCAACGCCGCGUGAGUGAUGAAGGUCUUCGGAUCGUAAAACUCUGAUAUUAGGGAAGAACAUAUGUGUAAGUAACUGUGCACAUCUUGACGGUACCUAAUCAGUAGGCCACGUCUAAACUACAUGCCAGCAGCCGCGGGUAACCCGUAC
rnacentral:rRNA from 1 species